rnacentral:rRNA from 1 species
GUAGCUUGCUACUUGACCUAGCGGCGGACGGGUGAGUAAUGCUUAGGAAUCUGCCUAUUAGUGGGGGACAACAUCUCGAAAGGGAUGCUAAUACCGCAUACGUCCUACGGGAGAAAGCAGGGGACCUUCGGGCCUUGCGCUAAUAGAUGAGCCUAAGUCGGAUUAGCUAGUUGGUGGGGUAAAGGCCUACCAAGGCGACGAUCUGUAGCGGGUCUGAGAGGAUGAUCCGCCACACUGGGACUGAGACACGGCCCAGACUCCUACGGGAGGCAGCAGUGGGGAAUAUUGGACAAUGGGGGGAACCCUGAUCCAGCCAUGCCGCGUGUGUGAAGAAGGCCUUUUGGUUGUAAAGCACUUUAAGCGAGGAGGAGGCUACCGAGAUUAAUACUCUUGGAUAGUGGACGUUACUCGCAGAAUAAGCACCGGCUAACUCUGUGCCAGCAGCCGCGGUAAUACAGAGGGUGCAAGCGUUAAUCGGAUUUACUGGGCGUAAAGCGCGCGUAGGUGGCCAAUUAAGUCAAAUGUGAAAUCCCCGAGCUUAACUUGGGAAUUGCAUUCGAUACUGGUUGGCUAGAGUAUGGGAGAGGAUGGUAGAAUUCCAGGUGUAGCGGUGAAAUGCGUAGAGAUCUGGAGGAAUACCGAUGGCGAAGGCAGCCAUCUGGCCUAAUACUGACACUGAGGUGCGAAAGCAUGGGGAGCAAACAGGAUUAGAUACCCUGGUAGUCCAUGCCGUAAACGAUGUCUACUAGCCGUUGGGGCCUUUGAGGCUUUAGUGGCGCAGCUAACGCGAUAAGUAGACCGCCUGGGGAGUACGGUCGCAAGACUAAAACUCAAAUGAAUUGACGGGGGCCCGCACAAGCGGUGGAGCAUGUGGUUUAAUUCGAUGCAACGCGAAGAACCUUACCUGGUCUUGACAUAGUAAGAACUUUCCAGAGAUGGAUUGGUGCCUUCGGGAACUUACAUACAGGUGCUGCAUGGCUGUCGUCAGCUCG